CGGCAUGUCCAGAAACUGGAAUGCCUCCCCCACCUGCCCCCCGCCAGGCUUCUUACACAAUCCAGGACCCAGACGGACCAACAGACUGUUUGGGACUCCGCACUGCACCCCCAAUCUCUCUGCGUUGGAGAACCCCAAGAAGCUGUGCGGAUGGAUGGUGGAAGGUGAAGAACCAGUGGCCUGUAGCCUCUGGGAUGACCUGUUUCAACUGACGAAAGAAAUUUGUUUGGCACACACUUGGCUCAAAAACCAAAGGAACAAAGCAAAGCCCCCUUUAGGAUGUCAGCCCCAGACUACAGGAGUCCGCUUGAAAUCUCUCAGCUUUAAGA